CAAGAAGUACUAUUCUCAGUAUUAUGAAGCAGACUACAAGUACUAAUGACUUAACAAUUCUGAGCCCGCUCAAGAAUAUUUUCUGGUUACCUGGGCCUAGAAUGGACUUAAAUCUUUGAAACAUAGACUAAAUGCUAAAAAUGGGAUGCUGAUCUUAAAAUAAAAUUGCAAAUCAGGUUUGGAGUUUGAUGUAAAAGACUGAGAGACACAGUUGAGGACAUGUGUGCAGGAGCUCUAGCUGCCAUCCUGAACCUUUAGGACAAGGGCAGUGCUGCAGAUGAAGGGACAGAAAUGUUAUACCAGAGGAGAAAUCACUCUUUCUUCUGCUAGACAUGAACAAGGAAGCACAUAUCCCUGAUAGCCAUGAUCAGCUUUCCUGCCACCGGGAGAGUGUAUUUUGGGAAGAGGACAACAACUGAAAAUCACAGCAAGAAUUCUGAAAACCCUUGGGAAAUAGUGGGGAACAAUGUUGACCAAAUUAUAUUGUUUGUUGUGUGCAUAUGUGAAUAUGUUAUGACGAAUCCCACCAUUAUGUAUAAUUACAAUGCACCAAUAAAAAUAUGAAAAAAAAUUCUAAAAAGCCUGGUUCUUUAAUGGCAUUUUUCAGUUCACCUUGACACUGAGUCAAACUAUGAGAUAAUACAUGACCUAUUAGAGAAGUCAGGGUCACUAAAACUUUUUCUUAAAGUGCACUGAUGGUGACUAUUUUAAGACUUCAGGCUCUACCCAACUAGUCAAAUCGGGUACUAUAGCUCUAAAGCGCCCUAGACAAUAUGUAUAUGAAUGCAUGUGAAUGUGUUCCAGUAAGACAGGUGGCCAACCUACAGGCUGUCAUUUGCCAAUCCCUGUGAUAAGCCAGUUUGAAUCAGAAUUUU